UCCCUGGUGGCUCAGACAGUAAAGAAUCUGCCUGCAAUGCAGAAGACCCGGGUUCAAUCCCUGGGUUGGGAC
rnacentral:tRNA from 1 species